rnacentral:rRNA from 1 species
GCACCAGACUCCUACGGGAGGCAGCAGUGAGGAAUAUUGGUCAAUGGUCGGGAGACUGAACCAGCCAAGCCGCGUGAGGGAUGAAGGUACAGAGUAUCGUAAACCUCUUUUGUCGGGGAACAAAGGCGGGGACGCGUCCCCGGAUGAGUGUACCUGAAGAAAAAGCAUCGGCUAACUCCGUGCCAGCAGCCGCGGUAAUACGGAGGAUGCGAGCGUUAUCCGGAUUUAUUGGGUUUAAAGGGUGCGUAGGCGGACUGUCAAGUCAGCGGUAAAAUACGGGGGCACAACCCCGGCGAGCCGUUGAAACUGGCUGUCUUGAGAUGUCGAGAGGUAUGCGGAAUGCGCAGUGUAGCGGUGAAAUGCAUAGAUAUCACGCAGAACUCCGAUUGCGAAGGCAGCAUACCGGCGCGCAACUGACGCUCAUGCACGAAAGCGUGGGUAUCGAACAGGAUUAGAUACCCGAGUA